UACAGAGGUCUCAAGCGUUGUUCGGAUUCAUUGGGCGUAAAGGGUGCGUAGGUGGCGCGCUAAGUCAGGUGUGAAAUUUCGGAGCUUAACCCCGGAAUUGCACCUCAAACUACACGGCUAGAGCAUUGGAGAGGGUAGCAGAAUUCACGGUGUAGCAGUGAAAUGCGUAGAUAUCGUGAGGAAUACCAGAGGCGAAGGCGGCUACCUGGACAAUUGCUGACGCUCAGGCACGAAAGCGUGGGGAGCAAAAGGG
rnacentral:rRNA from 1 species